AACGGUCUAUACCUGCGGUACCUGCGGAGGGAUCAUUACCGAGUGAGGGCCCUCUGGGUCCAACCUCCCACCCGUGUUUAACUGUACCUUGUUGCUUCGGCGGGCCCGCCUCACGGCCGCCGGGGGGCUCUCCUGCCCCCGGGCCCGCGCCCGCCGAAGACACCUGUGAACGCUGUCUGAAGUAUGCAGUCUGAGAAAACUAGCUAAAUUAGUUAAAACUUUCAACAACGGAUCUCUAGA
rnacentral:misc_RNA from 1 species